UUGACCUCGGAUCAGGUAGGGAUACCCGCUGAACUUAAGCAUAUU
rnacentral:rRNA from 1 species